CGUCCUAGGGAGAAAGUGGGGGGAUCUUCGGGACCUCACGCUUUUAGAUGAGCCUAGGUCGGAUUAGUUAGUUGGUGGGGUAAAGGCCUACCAAGGCGACGAUCCGUAUCUGGUUUGAGAGGAUGAUCAGUCACACUGGAACUGAGACACGGUCCAGACUCUACGGGAGGCAGCAGUGGGGAAUAUUGGACAAUGGGCGAAAGCCUGAUCCAGCCAUGCCGCGUGUGGAAGAAGGUCUUCGGAUUGUAAAGCACUUUAAGUUGGGAGGAAGGGCAGUAAGUUAAUACCUUGCUGUUUUGACGUUACCAACAGAAUAAGCACCGGCUAACUUCGUGCCAGCAGCCGCGGUAAUACGAAGGGUGCAAGCGUUAAUCGGAAUUACUGGGCGUAAAGCGCGCGUAGGUGGUUCAGCAAGUUGGAUGUGAAAUCCCCGGGCUCAACCUGGGAACGGCAUCCAAAUCUUCUGAGGUAGAGUACUGUAGAGGGUGGUGGAAUUUCGUGUGUAGCGGUGAAAUGCGUAGAUAUAGGAAGGAACACCAGUGGCGAAGGCGACCACCUGGGGUGGAUACUGACACUUAGGUGCGAAAGCGUGGGGAGCAAACGAGGAUUAGAUACCUCUGGUUAGUCCUACGC
rnacentral:rRNA from 1 species